rnacentral:misc_RNA from 1 species
UUUCCGUAGGUGAACCUGCGGAAGGAUCAUUCAUAAUAAAGUGUUUUAUGGCACUUUUUAAAAAUCCAUAUCCACCUUGUGUGCAAUGUUAGAUCUCGUCAAUCUUGGCGAGAUUUUUAUACAUCAACUCAUUCUUUAACUAAUUUGUCAGAAAAAUAUUAUGAAUACUUAAUUCAAAAUACAACUUUCAACAACGGAUCUCUUGGCUCUC